rnacentral:rRNA from 1 species
UGUGUAGGCGGUUCCUUAAGUUUGGUGUGAAAUCUCCCGGCUCAACCGGGAGGGUGCGCCGAAUACUGAGGGACUAGAGUGCGGGAGAGGAAAGUGGAAUUCCUGGUGUAGCGGUGAAAUGCGUAGAUAUCAGGAGGAACACCGGUGGUGUAGACGGCUUUCUGGACCGUAACUGACGCUGAAACACGAAAGCGUGGGUAGCAAACAGGAUUAGAUACCCUGGUAGUCCACGCCCUAAACGAUGCACAUUUGGUGUGGGUCAUUCAGUUGAUCCGUGCCGGAGCUAACGCGUUAAAUAUGCCGCCUGGGGAGUACAGUCGCAAGGCUGAA